rnacentral:tRNA from 1 species
GUGCCGGUAGCCAAGCGGUAAGGCAAGUGAUUGCAAAUCACUUUUACGUCUGUUCAAAUCAGAUCCGGUACU